rnacentral:rRNA from 1 species
UACGGAGGGUGCAAGCGUUGUUCGGAAUCAUUGGGCGUAAAGCGCGUGUAGGCGGCUUGGCAAGUCGGUUGUGAAAUCCCGGGGCCCAACCCCGGAACUGCAUUCGAAACUGCCUCGCUAGAGUCCCGGAGAGGAAGGCGGAAUUCCCGGUGUAGAGGUGAAAUUCGUAGAUAUCGGGAGGAACACCAGCGGCGAGGGCGGCCUUCUGGACGGUGACUGACGCUGAGACGCGAAAGCGUGGGGAGCAAACAGG